AAACCAUGAUUAGGCGACCUCACCAAAUAUAACUUGAAUCGAUCCCAUGCUUCAUGUAGAUGUUCUCCCGGUAGUUGCUUUAAGAAGAAAAUUUUAUCUCGGAGCUC
rnacentral:snoRNA from 1 species